GGGUUCAGGAAAGCAGGAAAGCGACGAAGGGCUCUACGGCCAACUCGCGAGAAAUACACAGGAAAAAGGGUUCCAUACGGAGAGCUGUCCGAUGAGCGCUUCCUUAUUUACGGGGAAGGCGGGAGGGGGGCGUGUGGUGCUUGUGUAAUACUUUACAAGGAAGGGGGGGGCUUCCUGCCACACUAAGAUUCCUAGGAAUAUCUAUUUGUUUGUUUGAAUAUAUAUGUUUUAUAUUAAUUUAUAGUCUGUUCUGACCAGGAGCCAUGAGAUAAAUAAAACCUCCAGGUCAAUAGGCAGUCUACCUCGGAAUAAUUUGAACAGAUAAGAAAUCAAGAUGAGUCAGAUAUAAAAGAGGAGUGGGAAUAUUUGGCAAAUAUUUAAAGAAAUAUAACAAUCAGAUAGGCUUCCAAGUGGGGUUAGAUAUAGGAGCAGCAGUUAAAAAUAAGCAGAAGAGGGAUGGUAAUUAAGGAGAUGCAGCUAAACAAGGACUAAGUUAGAACCCACCCACCCCUGAGGGAUGUGUGUGGAAGCCAAAGAGUGUAAGAUAAACAAUGACAAUUGUAUAACGGAUGUAUUAAGAUGUGUAAAAUGCAUUUCAAAUCACACACACACACACACACAGAAGUGGACAGGUUGGUGCUCCAUGGCAGUGGGGGGAGAGACUCCAUCAGGCAAGGUCUCUUUCCACCUGCCUUGCCCCCCCCCCCAGUCUCUGCUUCUCAUUUUGUAUUGUAUUAUGUUGUGCACUGUGGUUUGCUGCUGUUUAUUGAUUGGAGUUUAGAAAUUACUUAUUGUAACUGUUGAGUGGAUUUCUGUUUAAUUCUGAAAUGCUGAUAUUUAGGCAUGCAUAUUUGUGGUAUGAUAAGGUCAAAGCACAUAAAGCAUUUAGAAACCACAUUGUCAGGAAAGCGCUAUUUAAUGUUUGGAUAAGAUAUAAGGAUUUGCUAGAAAACAAAACCCCAAGGUGGCUGUCACCAAUGGAAGCGAAAGCCUUGAGAAAGGCCAAUAUGGAGGUCAAAUGGCCGAAAUAUUGGGAAAUUUUGGAACAAGACGGAGAUAGACUGAAAUUGCAGAGCUUUGAAAAAUUAAAAAACAAAGUGCGAGACUGGCUUCAUUAUUAUCAGAUAAUGGAGGCAUUUAAAUUGGACAAGAAAAUUGGCUUCCAGGUGGAAAGAUCUAAAUUAGAAACAGAACUGUUAGAACCCAGAACUAAGAAUUUGUCAAGAAUGUAUAACUUGCUGCUGAAAUGGAAUACUCAGGAGGAAACGGUAAAAUCGGCUAUGAUUAAAUGGGCACAGGACAUUGGACAUAACAUUAUGUUUGCUGACUGGGAACAGUUGUGGACCACAGGUAUGAAAUUUACGGCAUGUAAUGCCUUAAGAGAGAAUAUUAUGAAAAUGAUAUACAGGUGGUACAUAACCCCAGUCAAGCUUGCAAAAAUUUAUCACUUGCCCAAUAACAAAUGUUGGAAAUGUAAAGAAACUGACGGUACAUUUUUCACCUUUGGUGGACGUGCCCAAAGAUUAAGGCUUUCUGGGAAAUGAUAUAUAAUGAAUUUAAAAGGUAUUUAAGUAUACCUUCCCUAAGAAACCAGAGGCCUUUCUCCUGGGCAUAGUCGGCCAAAUGGUGUUAAAAAGGAUAGAACUUUCUUUAUGUAUGCAACAACAGCAGCAAGAAUACUUAUCGCAAAGUAUUGGAAGACACAAGAACUUCCCACGCUGGAGGAAUGGCAGAUGAAACUGAUGGACUAUAUGGAACUGGCGGAAAUGACUGGUAGAAUCCGUGACCAGGGAGAAGAGUCGGUGGAGGAAGAUUGGAAGAAAUUCAAAGACUAUCUUCAGAAACAUUGCAAAAUUAAAGAAUGUUAGAGUGAUGUUGGACUGAAAAUAAGCGGUUUCCAGCUGUACAGGUUAAAGUUAACGAUAGACUAAGAUUAAAGAUUAGGAUUAAAGAUGUUUAAAGAAAUGGAAAUUUGACAAUUAAGAGGGAAAAUUUUAAUGUUAUAUUAUACUAAGACUAAAGACCAGGUUUAAAGAAGUUGAAGUUAUAUAUUUCAAUAUUAUAUUAAAGUUAAAGAAAAGAAAUUGCUGGACAAACAAUUUGGAUUGGAAUACAAAAGAGGGAGGUAUGAGGAAGUCCAGAAGAGAAGUAAACUAAAAAACGGAAAUGGAAAAGAGAUAUUGUUUUUAAUUGUUAUGUUUUUUGUUUUUUAUUGUUGAAUCUUGUUUUGUGUGUGUGUGUGUGUUUUUGUUAUCCUUUUUUUGAGAUAUGUAUUGUGUAUGUUUUUCUUUUCUUUCUUUGUUGUUCAAAACUUUAAUAAAAAUUAUUUU